UAUAUAUUUAUAUGUUUAUAUAUAUACACACACUGUAUAUACCUUUUUGCGAACAGUACAUAGGGUGUACAACAAAUGUACAAAUGCACAAUAAAACAGACACAGUUACAAAGACGCUAAGUUCACAUUCAUCUAUUGCUGUGUCUAAACAUGCAUCUAAAGCAGAUGCACAUAAUAUUAUGUAUUUUAAUAAGUUGAAUAUGUCCAUGUUUCAUGCCCACGCACGGCCAGUGUUUUCUUCCCCUCUUUCAGGUCGAUUGGUGUGAUUGACAACCACCUGUGUCUGGCCACGCUGCCUGCAGACUGGCCAAUCAGCAGCCGGGACACACUCUACAAGAAGAGCAACCUGGACUCUCAGAUCCUUCCUGUAGCUGGAGGUUCAUGUUGAGAACGUUGUGAUAAGAGGGUAUGGACUAGACUGGUUUCAGGAUAUCUUUACAUACUGUUACGUGCCAGGGUGCUGUGUGAGAUAUCCCCAUUCCUGUGUUUGCUGUGUGCUUUGUGGGUCUGCCCAUUCUGCUUGUCCCACAGGUGCCUUCAAUUCCACAGUCAAGCUGUGGACAUAAAAAGCUGGCGCCACACUGAUAGCCUGUGAACCUGCAAGCUACUUUGUAGCUGCAUGUUUUCUCCACUCAACCUUUUUCUUACCCUUUGUUGGCAACAGUGCGUGUGAUUUUUUUUUACUUUGGUGGUUUAAACUUGGUUUGAUCUGGUUGUUUUAAGUUAAUGGUGUUUUUUCCCUCUUUUAGGCCGAUCAGCUACUUUUGGAGCAGCUGGCUUUAAGUUUACAUUCUGCUAAUUCAUUGUAACUAAACUUUUUAGACGGUUCUGUUCCUCUGUCUCUGCCUUUCUUUUAAAAUAUCUCGAGGUUUGUUAUACGUUGUUAUGUAACAAUACACACGUAGGGUUUUGCCACUUCAUAUCACUUGUUUAUGGGUUGUGCCACUCCCUGUAUUUUGAGAGAUGGGCCCAUUUUUGGUUUGUUUUCAUUAGUUUGGCACAAACCCUUGGCCCUACCCUGAUCCACCUUUUUUGUUAUCCUGUUUUGUGAAAACACCUUAAAAUAAACAUUUGAGUUACUUGCACCUGCACCCCUGGCUUUCUCCUUUCUUUGCUUGCUCCGUGUUGCCAUCUCACCCCUACGUGAUGUAACAGUCCAAGAAAACAAGUACCUUACCUUCUUGUUAGUCAAGUUUUUAUGAUUUGUGCAAAACAUUCUCAUGUAGAUUCUCAUUCAUCCAGGUCAUAGUUACCCAAAAGUCCCUCAGUCAGCAGCAGUCCUCAUCUUCAAGUCCAGUUUCUUCUGAGUGAGUGAACUUUGGAUAUUUGUGGGCACUGUCAGGUCGCAGCGGCUCCUGUUGCACCUCCGCCCUGUCCUGAAGAAUUGACUGCUCCUCCCCUGCAGCCUGGGAAACUCAAAUAUAUGCACACACACACCCUCCCCAACAAGUGUGACAGGAUGCUUUGGCCACAAACAGUCCGGUCCACACUGCACAGAGACUAACAGCAGCUGAUUCAGCUGCAUGUACAGAAGAAUAGAAAAAAAGAAAGCCACAAGUCUGUGCCUGUGCCUGUGCCCAGCAGACAGCUGCACACAGGUUGCCAAAGGAACUGUUCGGUGAUCCAAGGUCGAUGGGGCAAGAGGAUGCUCCCCGAGCACUGCCCAGUGUGUCCCUGGGGAAAAGAAGCAGCUCCAGUGCUGUCCAACAGCAGACCUACUCAGCGUCCAUCUUCCUCCGCCGCAAAGAGAAGCGGAUACAGGUUUUUCUGUAUGACUAAAUGCACCGAGUUACUGUCAAGUCAUUGGAUGAUUAGAUCUUUGAGUUAACAAGCAGAUGAUCACGUGAUGGUACCUGAUGAAGUGGCUGGUAAGUGUAUGGUUUUCACUUAAGUGACACUUCAACUAUACUGCAGUGGAGCGUAUGUAUCCCUUUCUGAAAGAUUUAAUGCCAUUUCACUCUGCACUAAUGCCUUGGUUGGCUGCUCCUUUCUCUUGUACACACGUGACCUAUUGGUUUGAGGGGCUGUGCUGCUGCUGCUGGUGGUGGUGGUGGCGGCUCUGCUCACUAAUGAGGUUGUGUCUGAAUGAAACAACUUAAGAGGAUCACAAUUUUCACGACUACAUCAUCCACAAACUUGCUUUGGCAUGUGGCCCGGCUGUCUCAUGUCCCCAGUCAGCCAUCACUCAGGACACAGCACCCAUUGGAGAAAAGGAAAUGACAUCCUGUUCGUGAAUGAAAACCUGCUGCUGGGCUUUCGGUGCUACAUCGUGGCGCCUUUCACACUGACACACAGGGGUGUGUUUGAAUGGGAGGAGAAAACGGCAUCAGUCAUACUUAUAUGGGGACUAAAUGUCACGCUGAAUGAUGAUUAUUGUGCGCCAGAGCAGAGCGUGUGCAGGGCAAACGCAUCUAUGCAGCUUCUGUGAUGUUUCUACACCUGUUUGAGGAUGAAAACAUUCCUAAGAUGCUGUGCAUUAAAGCCUUUAC